CCUGAGAUAGAUGAACUCACUGUGAACUUGAUUCUUCUCCAAAGAAGCAAUUGGGCAAUUGUCGAUAAAAUAUAUCACGGUCACAUUUGAUUUCAAAAGAGGAACGCCCCCCCUGAACAAAAUGAUUGGUGAAAAGGAACUAGAAAGGCAAAGGGUCGUAUCACUCCAAAAUGCUUGGGUGUUGCUUCAAAACACAACAUGGUGUCAGAAGUUCAAUUGUAUACUGCAGAUUAAGAAAGGUACCAUGAGGGCCAAAAGGACACUGGCAUGGUGAAGAAGCAGAGUCAAAGAAGCUAUUAGAGGCAAGAAGACUUGUCCAAAUGAAGAGAACAUAAAGGAAUGCAACUUUGGCAGAAAGAACUGGGAAAGAUAUCUAUAACUUGUCCCUCAGCACUGUGUGGAUGGGGACCAGCGCUGGGGGGUCUUCUAUGCUCUGAAGCUGCAGUAGCCACCCCCAGCUCCUCACAACAACCUGGAACAAUGAACUCCUGCCCAGGAGCUUUCUGGCCCAGCAAGCUUUUAAUAGCAUUUGCUUGUGUUUUCUUCCUACUGCUGCCUGGUCAGCUUUCAAGUCUGGAUCCACUGAAAGAGUUUGCAAGAAACUUCGCCUUCCAGUCUGGGUUUUGCUGGCCUUUCAGUCAGAUUACUUGGCUUUGCACUAUUCCAGGUCUGGCUAGAAGUGUGGAAGGAUUUCUCUCUCUCUCUCUUUCUGUUUCUUUCCUUCUUGCUCCCCUCCUUCUUUGCUUUCUUUCCCUCUUACUGGAAUGAUCCCCUCUUCUCCCUCUGCAUCUCUGUUCCAUCUGUUUUGGUUAUUAAAAUCUUCUUUCCUUUCCUUUCCUUUCCUUUCCUUUCCUUU